rnacentral:rRNA from 1 species
UACGUAGGGCGCAAGCGUUGUCCGGAAUCAUUGGGCGUAAAGAGCUCGUAGGCGGCCUGUCGCGUCCGCUGUGAAAUCCCGGGGCUUAACCCCGGGCGUGCAGUGGAUACGGGCUGGCUGGAGGCAGGCAGGGGAGAACGGAAUUCCCGGUGUAGCGGUGAAAUGCGCAGAUAUCGGGAGGAACACCGGUGGCGAAGGCGACUUACUGGACACAUAUUGACGCUGAGGUGCGAAAGCGUGGGGAGCAAACAGG